CCUACGAGGGGCAGCAGUGAGGAAUAUUGGUCAAUGGGCGGAAGCCUGAACCAGCCAAGUCGCGUGAGGGAUUAAGGCCCUGCGGGUCGUAAACCUCUUUUGUCGGGGAGCAAGGCCCGCCACGUGUGGCGGGAAGGAGAGUACCCGAAGAAAAAGCAUCGGCUAACUCCGUGCCAGCAGCCGCGGUAAUACGGAGGAUGCGAGCGUUAUCCGGAUUUAUUGGGUUUAAAGGGUGCGUAGGAGGAAGGUUAAGUCAGCGGUCAAAUGUCGGUGCUCAACACCGGCCUGCCGUUGAAACUGGUCGUCUGGAGUGAGCGAGAAGUAUGCGGAAUGCGUGGUGUAGCGGUGAAAUGCAUAUAUAUCACGCAGAACUCCGAUUGCGAAGGCAGCAUACCGGCGCUCAACUGACGCUGAGGCACGAAAGCGUGGGGAUCGAACAGGAUUAGAUACCCGAGUAGUC
rnacentral:rRNA from 1 species